AGUGAACGCUGGCGGUAGGCCUAACACAUGCAAGUCGAACGGCAGCACAGUAAGAGCUUGCUCUUACGGGUGGCGAGUGGCGGACGGGUGAGGAAUACAUCGGAAUCUACUUUUUCGUGGGGGAUAACGUAGGGAAACUUACGCUAAUACCGCAUACGACCUACGGGUGAAAGCAGGGGAUCUUCGGACCUUGCGCGAUUGAAUGAGCCGAUGUCGGAUUAGCUAGUUGGCGGGGUAAAGGCCCACCAAGGCGACGAUCCGUAGCUGGUCUGAGAGGAUGAUCAGCCACACGGGAACUGAGACACGGUCCAGACUCCGACGGGAGGCAGCAGGGGGGAAUAUUGGACAAGGGGCGCAAGCCUGAUCCAGCCAUACCGCGUGGGUGAAGAAGGCCUGCGGGUUGUAAAGCCCUUUUGUUGGGAAAGAAAAGCAGCAGGUUAAUACCCCGCUGUUCGGACGGUACCCAAAGAAUAAGCACCGGCGAACCUCGG
rnacentral:rRNA from 1 species